rnacentral:rRNA from 1 species
GAUGAACGCUGGCGGCGUGCCUAAUACAUGCAAGUCGAGCGAACAGACGAGGAGCUUGCUCCUCUGACGUUAGCGGCGGACGGGUGAGUAACACGUGGAUAACCUACCUAUAAGACUGAGAUCACUUCGGGAAACCGGAGCUAAUCCCGUAUAAUAUAUUGAACCGCAUGGGUCAAUGGUGAAAGACGGUUUUGCUGUCACGUAUAGAGGCAUCCCAGCCGCAUGAGCUAGUUGUUAAGGUCACGGCUUACGACGGCAACGAUGCGUAGCCGACCUGAGAGGGUGAUCGGCCACACGGGAACUGAGACACGGUCCAGACGCCUACGGGAGGGAGCAGUAGGGAAUCUUCCGCAAUGGGCGAAAGCCUGACGGAGCAACGGCGCGUGAGUGAUGAAGGUCUUGGGAUCGUAAAACUCGGUUACUAGGGAUGAACAAAUGUGUAAGUAAAUAUGCACGUCUUGACGGUACUUAAUCAGAAAGCCACGGCUAACUACGUG